GAGGUAGAUGGGAGAAAUGUAGGAGAUGAAUGAUAUUUUUUAGAAUGUGAAUAAAGGAAUAAAAUUAUAAAAUAAAUAAUACGAGGCGCAGCAGGCGCGUAACCUUUACACUGCACGACAGUGCGAUAGGGCGAUCCCAAGUGCACAGGCAUAGCGCCUGUGCUGUUCGGUACCCUAAGGCGGUACCAGAAUAAGGGCUGGGCAAGACCGGUGCCAGCCGCCGCGGUAAUACCGGCAGCCCAAGUGAUGGCCGAUCUUAUUGGGCCUAAAGCGUCCGUAGCUGGCCACGCAAGUCCAUCGGGAAAUCCACCUGCCCAACAGGUGGACGCCCGGUAGAAACUGCGUGGCUUGGGACCGGAAGGCGCGACGGGUACGUCCGGGGUAGGAGUGAAAUCCCGUAAUCCUGGACGGACCGCCGAUGGCGAAAGCACGUCGCGAGAACGGAUCCGACAGUGAGGGACGAAAGCCAGGGUCUCGAACCGGAUUAGAUACCCGGGUAGUCCUGGCCGUAAACAAUGUCUGCUAGGUGUGGCUCCCACUACGAGUGGGUGCUGUGCCGCAGGGAAGCCGCUAAGCAGACCGCCUGGGAAGUACGUCCGCAAGGAUGAAACUUAAAGGAAUUGGCGGGGGAGCAC
rnacentral:rRNA from 1 species